rnacentral:rRNA from 1 species
GGUAACCGUAGGUGAACCUGCGGUUGGAUCAUA